rnacentral:rRNA from 1 species
AUACGGAGGAUCCGAGCGUUAUCCGGAUUUAUUGGGUUUAAAGGGAGCGUAGGUGGACAGUUAAGUCAGUUGUGAAAGUUUGCGGCUCAACCGUAAAAUUGCAGUUGAUACUGGCUGUCUUGAGUACAGUAGAGGUGGGCGGAAUUCGUGGUGUAGCGGUGAAAUGCUUAGAUAUCACGAAGAACUCCGAUUGCGAAGGCAGCUCACUGGACUGCAACUGACACUGAUGCUCGAAAGUGUGGGUAUCAAACAGGAUUAGAUACCCUGGUAGUCCACACAGUAAACGAUGAAUACUCGCUGUUUGCGAUAUACAGCAAGCGGCCAAGCGAAAGCAUUAAGUAUUCCACCUGGGGAGUACGCCGGCAACGGUGAAACUCAAAUGAAUUGGCGGGG